rnacentral:rRNA from 1 species
UACAGAGGUGGCAAACGUUGUCCGGAAUUACUGGGUGUAAAGGGUCCGCAGGCGGCCCUGUAAGUCAAAGGUGAAAUGUCUCGGCUCAACCGGGUCACUGCCUUUGAAACUGCAGGGCUUGAGUACGGUAGAGGAGAGUGGAAUUCCCAGUGUAGCGGUGAAAUGCGUAGAUAUUGGGAGGAACACCAGUGGCGAAGGCGGCUCUCUGGACCGAUACUGACGCUCAGGGACGAAAGCCAGGGGAG